CCACGGUGUGGUUCAUGACUGGGGUGAAGUCGUAACAAGGUAGCCGUAGGGGAACCUGCGGCUGGAUCGCCUCCUU
rnacentral:rRNA from 1 species